rnacentral:rRNA from 1 species
GACGAACGCUGGCGGCGUGCUUAACACAUGCAAGUCGAACGGAAAGGCCCUGCUUUUGUGGGGUGCUCGAGUGGCGAACGGGUGAGUAACACGUGAGUAACCUGCCCUUGACUUUGGUAUAACUUCAGGAAACUGGGGCUAAUACCGGAUAGGAGCUCCUGCUGCAUGGUGGGGGGUGGAAAGUUUCGGCGGUCGGGGAUGGACUCGCGGCUUAUGAGCUUGUUGGUGGGGUAGUGGCUUACCAAGGGUUUGACGGGUAGCCGGCUUGUGAGGGUGAACGGCCACAUUGGGACUGAGAUACGGCCCAGAGUCCUACGGGAGGCAGCAGUGGGGAAUAUUGCACAGUGGGCGCAAGCGUGAUGCAGCAACGCCGCGUGCGGGAUGACGGCCUUCGGGUUGUAAACCGCUUUCGCCUGUGACGAAGCGUGAGUGACGGUAAUGGGUAAAGAAGCACCGGCUAACUACGUG